AGCCCGAAGUCGUCCCCGGUGACGAUGUUCAGGCCGGCGUGGGUGACGCACGCGCAGUUCACGUCGGCCUUGUCCGCGUUCCGCGGCCAGAUGCCAAUGACCUCGUCUCCCAGGAUGCUGUUCCAGAAGGAAGGGCAGUUAGAAAGAAGGAAGG